rnacentral:rRNA from 1 species
GUGGGGAAUAUUGCACAAUGGGCGAAAGCCUGAUGCAGCAACGCCGCGUGAGCGAUGAAGGCCUUUGGGUCGUAAAGCUCUGUCCUUGGGGAAGAAACAAAUGACGGUACCCAAGGAGGAAGCCCCGGCUAACUACGUGCCAGCAGCCGCGGUAAUACGUAGGGGGCAAGCGUUAUCCGGAAUUAUUGGGCGUAAAGAGUACGUAGGUGGUCUUUUAAGCGCAGGGUUUAAGGCAAUGGCUUAACCAUUGUUCGCCCUGUGAACUGGAAGACUUGAGUGUAGGAGAGGAAAGUGGAAUUCCUAGUGUAGCGGUGAAAUGCGUAGAUAUUAGGAGGAACAUCAGUGGCGAAGGCGACUUUCUGGACUAUUACUGACACUGAGGUACGAAAGCGUGGGGAGCAAACAGGAUUAGAAACCCCAGUAGUCC